rnacentral:rRNA from 1 species
UACGUAGGGGGCAAGCGUUGUCCGGAAUUAUUGGGCGUAAAGAGCGCGUAGGCGGUCCGAUAAGUCGGCUGUGAAAGUCAGGGGCUCAACCCUUGAAAGCCGGCCGAUACUGUCGGACUAGAGUCCGGAAGAGGCAAGUGGAAUUCCCGGUGUAGCGGUGAAAUGCGCAGAUAUCGGGAGGAACACCAGUGGCGAAGGCGACUAUCUGGGCUGAAACUGACGCUGAGGCGCGAAGGCUAGGGGAGCAAACAGG